rnacentral:lncRNA from 1 species
CCGGCUCCUUCAACAAGCAAGAUUCAAAAGCUGACGUCCCCCAGAAGGCGGACCUGGAAGAGGAGCCCCUACUUCACAACAGCAAGCUGGACAAGGUUCCUGGGGUACAAGGGCAGGCCAGAAAGGAGAAAGCAGAGGCCUCUAACGCAGGAGCUGCCUGUAUGGGGAACAGCCAGCACCAGGGCAGGCAGAUGGGGGCGGCGGCACACCCCCCAAUGAUCCUGCCCCUUCCCCUGCGAAAGCCCACCACACUUAGGCAGUGCGAAGUGCUCAUCCGCGAGCUGUGGAAUACCAACCUCCUGCAGACCCAAGAGCUGCAGCACCUCAAGUCCCUCCUGGAAGGGAGCCAGAGGCCCCAGGCAGUCCCGGAGGAAGCUAGCUUUCCCAGGGACCAAGAAGCCACGCAUUUCCCCAAGGUCUCCACCAAGAGCCUCUCCAAGAAAUGCCUGCUUCUGAGCCCACCUGUGGCGGAGCGUGCCAUCCUGCCCGCACUGAAGCAGACCCCGAAGAACAACUUUGCCGAGAGGCAGAAGAGGCUGCAGGCAAUGCAGAAACGGCGCCUGCAUCGCUCGGUGCUUUGAGCUACCCGCAUCUGGUCAGUGCCAGGCCCACCAACCUGCAGCUGGAGAUUGGCUCUCUAUAGCAUUUCCUGACACUUCCGCUACUUUUAGGCCUGGCUAAAUUCCAAGAUAGAUAACACUCAAGAUAGAUAAAGUACUUGAUCUCCAAACUGACAAACUGUUUAUUUUCUAGCUGUUAUUUUGCUAUUUGGCAUUUACAUAAAAGCACACGAUGAAGCAGGUAUCGCCUUACCUGUUGAAACUGAAAAUAAAGCUUG